GUGUUUACUGUUGAUUAUGAUAACAUGUCACGGUGUAGUGCUCGCUAUCCUAGUCCUAGUCACAAUUUUAGAUUUAACGUGCUUUUAGUUUUUUUUUUUCUACAAUUUCCAAUUUUUCCGGUAAAACAUUUUCAGACUUCAGACUCUCAGCAAAUUCCUUGUCUUUAUCCAUCCACAACCUAAGCUGGUUUUCUUGUAUCUUAUUAUAAACUUUUGGCCCGAUAUUUUAAUUCGGUAUGUGCGACAAAUAGAGCUGUAUUGAUGAAAUUUUUGUGUUCCUUAGGUGAACAUCAUAGUCAUAAUUCUAGCUGGACUGGUCGUUUGGUAUCCACUUGUCACCUAAGAUGUGUACCCUAAAAACAUCGAAACUGCCGAACCGAUUUGAUGACGGCAGACAGAAGAGUAUGGAAGGAGUAAACACGCUGCGCCGAUCCCAAAUAAAAUUAGGAUAAGGACAAGAGGAGGAUGAUGAUAUACUAUUGAAACUAUCCCCGAGUGACAGAGUGACAGAGUCCAUUUUUUUUUUUGAAAUAAACGUUUUUAUCCUUUUCUGUCACUUAAUAACGAAUCAUUUUGUCCGCAAAUGAUUUACGAUUGCAAAAUGAUUGUACAGCAAACUACCAUAUAGACCAAAAUCACCAAAAUAGCAGACCAAUCGCACACCAAUCCCAAUCAAAUGUCACUCGAAUACGAUUGGUCUUUUAUUAGUAGCAGAAUGCCCGAUAUGGUUAAAACUGCUAUUGCGAUCAUAUUGCGAUUCGAUUUCUAUUCGAUUUUGACAUUAUUAAGUUAGGAGAAUCGGGCCCCAGAAGUUGUAAAUCUACAGUGCAAUGAAAGCUUUGUUGUUGUUACAUAUGUGUUUACCUACAUGUUUCGAUAAUAGUUUUUAAUCUGAAAUUUUGGGGUUAAACAAUCAAAAGGUUAUGAGAUUUCAUUCCACCAAUCGAGACAGCAAUCGAUGGAAUAAAUGUUGCCUAUUAUGUAAUUAGAUUAGAUAAUAGGCUUGAAAAGUAAGUAGUCAAUGUUUUUAAUUAGCCUAAAUUACUGGACUUUGCAUUUUCA